UUCAUUUUAUUCUUAUUUCAGGUGAUCCGACAGACGACUUCUCUAUACAGUAUAGAUAUAUUAUAUGUUGUCAAUCCAGUCGCAUCUUGUCUUGGCCUUAACUGUUCAGUUCUGUGUUACAGGGCUGGUUCAUUGUGUAUUUAAGGGUAUCUGGGUCGAUCUACUUUUAUGUCAUUGUCUUUAGUUGUUUUAACAAUAGCCCAGGCUCAGCUUCUCAGUUGAUUGGUGUAAGUUCAAAUAUACUUCUCACCGCCAUGUUACUAAUCAGUUUUGCACCACACUGUCUCUACAUGAGGACUGUUCUAAAGAUUGAGUUUUGAUCUAAGGAUUAUUGCACGUGUUGGCUGCCCGGCUGCUGGGUGCUUGAGCACACUCCCGUGUCACCCACAGGAGUGUCUACUCCUACUACUUCUUCCUCUACGGAAUAAAGAUAUAGACCUCACAACCCGUAGCCUGUGGUUAUUACAGAGCACCACUAUUUCAUGGCUGCAACAAUGGAGCCCCCAGUGAGGAAUAUCUGAGCAACGCCAGAGCCAGUAGCCGAAGACAGUAUUCAACUGCUUGUGCAUGAGAGAUGGAUCUGAUGUUCCAUUUCUGAGUUCUGCCACAUCUGGGGUGAGAACAUUGAUAACGACUAUAUUCGUGUGUGCGUAACUAUGAUGACAGUCUUCCUGUGAAUUGUGACUUUCUGUGUUCAUGCCAUU